GAUGAACGCUGGCGGCGUGCUUAACACAUGCAAGUCGAACGUGAAGCCCGGUACCUAGUGUUGGGUGGAAAGUGGCGAACGGGUGAGUAACACGUUGGUGACCUGCCCUGAGGAGGGGAAUAACCGUGGGAAACCACGGCUAAUACCCCGGAUGUCUAAGCUGUUAGAGGGCUUAGACUAAAGCCCCUGCAAGGGGUGCGCCUCGGGAGGGGCCUGCGGGCUAUCAGCUUGUUGGUGGGGUAAUGGCUUACCAAGGCGAAGACGGCUAGGGGGCGUGAGAGCGCGACCCCCCACAAUGGAACUGAGACACGGUCCAUACUCCUACGGGAGGCAGCAGUGAGGAAUAUUGCGCAAUGGGGGCAACCCUGACGCAGCAACGCCGCGUGGACGAUGAAGGCCUUCGGGUUGUAAAGUCCUUUUCUGAAGGAAGAUAGUGACGGUACUUCAGGAAUAAGUCCCGGCUAACUACGUGCCAGCAGCCGCGGUAAAACGUAGGGGGCGAGCGUUAUCCGGAUUUACUGGGCGUAAAGCGCACGUAGGCGGCAUCGUAAGUUGGACGUGAAAGCUCCCGGCUCAACUGGGAGAGGUCGUUCAAAACUGUGGUGCUUGAGGUUGAUAGAGGAGAGUGGAAUUCCCGGUGUAGUGGUGGAAUGCGUAGAUAUCGGGAGGAACACCAGUGGCGAAGGCGGCUCUCUAGGUCACACCUGACGCUGAGGUGCGAAAGCGUGGGGAGCGAACGGGAUUAGAUACCCCGGUAGUCCACGCUGUAAACGAUGGAUACUAGGUGUGGGAGGUUAUUUACCCCUUCUGUGCCGUAGCUAACGC
rnacentral:rRNA from 1 species